rnacentral:rRNA from 1 species
UCCAGAGACCUCAAGCGUUAUCCGGAAUCAUUGGGCGUAAAGCGUACCGAUAGGUGGUUUAUAAAGUCUUGGGUAAAAGCCGGAAGCUCAACUUCCGCGUUUGCUUAAGAUACUUAUAGACUAGAGGGGCAAAGAGGUGCUUGGAACCAACGGUGUAGUAGGGAAAUGCGUUGAUAUCGUUGGGAACACCGAAAGCGAAGGCAGAGCACUGGGUGCCACCUGACACUGCUAGGACGAAAGCGUGGGGAGCGAAUGGG